rnacentral:rRNA from 1 species
CAGCCAUCACCGCUAUAUGAUGAAGGCCUUCGGGUUGUAAAGUACUUUUGGCAGAGAAGAAAAGGUAUCUCCUAAUACGAGAUACUGCUGACGGUAUCUGCAGAAUAAGCACCGGCUAACUACGUGCCAGCAUCCGCGGUAAUACGUAGGGUGCAAGCGUUAAUCGGAAUUACUGGGCGUAAAGCGUGUGUAGGCGGUUCGGAAAGAAAGAUGUGAAAUCCCAGGGCUCAACCUUGGAACUGCAUUUUUAACUGCCGAGCUAGAGUAUGUCAGAGGGGGGUAGAAUUCCACGUGUAGCAGUGAAAUGCGUAGAUAUGUGGAGGAAUACCGAUGGCGAAGGCAGCCCCCUGGGAUAAUACUGACGCUCAGACACGAAAGCGUGGGGAGCAAACAGGAUUAGAUACCCUGGUAGUCCACGCCCUAAACGAUGUCAACUAGCUGUUGGGGCCGUUAGGCCUUAGUAGCGCAGCUAACGCGUGAAGUUGACCGCC